UACGUAGGGUGCGAGCGUUGUCCGGAAUUAUUGGGCGUAAAGGGCUCGUAGGCGGUUUGUCGCGUCGGCUGUGAAAUCCCGUGGCUCAACUGCGGGUCUGCAGCCGAUACGGGCAGGCUAGAGUUCGGUAGGGGAGACUGGAAUUCCUGGUGUAGCGGUGAAAUGCGCAGAUAUCAGGAGGAACACCGGUGGCGAAGGCGGGUCUCUGGGCCGAUACUGACGCUGAGGAGCGAAAGCGUGGGGAGCGAACAGG
rnacentral:rRNA from 1 species